GAUGAACGCUGGCGGCGUGCCUAAUACAUGCAAGUCGAGCGAACAGACGAGGAGCUUGCUCGUCUGACGUUAGCGGCGGACGGGUGAGUAACACGUGGAUAACCUACCUAUCAGACUGGGAUCACUUCGGGAAACCGGAGCUAAUAGCGGAUAAUAUAUUGAAGCGCAGGGUGCAAUAGUGAAAGACGGUUGUGGUGGAACGUAUAGAUGGAUCCGCGCCGCAUUGGCUAGUUGGUAAGGUAACGGCUUACCAAGGCAACGAGGCGUAGCCGAGCUAAGAGGGUGAUCGGCCACACUGGAACUGAGACACGCUCCAGACUCCUACGGGAGGCAGCAGUAGGGAAUCUUCCGCAAUGGGCGAAAGCCUGACGGAGCAACGCCGCGUGAGUGAUGAAGGUCUUCGGAUCGUAAAACUCUGUUAUUAGGGAAGAACAAAUGUGUAAGUAACUAUGCACGUCUUGACGGUACCUAAUCAGAAAGCCACGGCUAACUACGUG
rnacentral:rRNA from 1 species